UCAGGCCCUGACGUCAUUCCACACAAAACCUGCUCAUGGUGUUGAGUACGAAACCUCAACUCGGACUUUUAGAACCAGUUGUUUACUGUGACCUCAUCCUGAUCAAAAUGAAUAAGAAGUUAUUAUUUAUUUACUGAAUUUUAAAAACAGGCCUCCUCCUGAGGCAAAAAAGAGGAAAACUCCUCUUUUAAUUCUAAGGUUUAAGAACUGUUUCUGGACUUUGACUGGUCCAUUGUUGAGUCUUGUUUCUCUUUGUUUAGCCAUUCUGUUGCUGCUGUAGUUUGAAUCUUUUUCUCAUUCAUUCUCAAGACAUAUGCCAUCACAUUGUAGCAGUAUGAAGCCUGCCCCAGGAUUGAAGACACCUGGCACCUAAUCACCUGAGUGGGUGUGAGUAUAAAGGCAGACUCCCUCGCAUUCUCUUUUCAUGCCUGCAUUUGGUCACUUCAGUGGAAUGUCUGCUGGUUAACUUGCAGUGGUCAAACUCAAUCCGGAAAUAAAGCUGCCUGAAGCCUCCUGUUGAUACUGGGAUGUGGCAGUAAUUUACCCUUCCUAGUACAAUUUGGCAACAUCAAAAAGGCUUGUAUUGACAAGUGGAUCCUUCUGCUGUGGGUCCGGAAGGGGCUCUCUGGUUGAAGUGGCGUUAUCCAGCCCUGGUAGGUGACCAUAGUUUCCUCUGCCUUGUGCCAUGUUCCUAAAAACCACCUAUUAACCCAAUUUAAUUUCAGGUCUAGAGCUGCUGCAGCCUGCUGGAAGCCCUGCUGCUUUGUUUUUGCUUUGUUUUUGCUUUGUUUUUGCUUUGUUUUUGCUUCCAGCUUGGCUGGGUGUGACUGCUGUGGUUUUUUUUAGACCAUAUAAUCGAACUGCUGAUUUUAAUAACUGGAUGUAUCAGCAUGCAACCUCAUUUUAGCACCCAUGUGUAAAUUGUAGUGUCUUUUCUUUGUUUUGUAUUUGGUUUGUGUAACCCCACCCUUUUGUUUCCAGGCUGGGAGCUGAAGGCAGUGGGGGGGCAUCCAGAGGGACUGGACAAGUGUGCUGUGCGAGUGACCGGUGUUGGGAUUUCUUCACGGAUUGAGUGUUUAUUCACAAGUGCUUGGGGUGAUUUAUUAAUUUGUUUAGGCCCAGUUUCCACAUGUGGAUUGCCCUCCCCUCUGCUGGUAGGCCCCAGCACUGCACUCCCUCUCCUAUUGUGCUCCUUGGAUUUUACUGGCUUUUAAAAGGAGAGAAACAAUAAAAUUAAUAAUUUUUUGUAUUAAAAAGAAGUCUUGUUCUCCUUGGGUACAAACCCAUCUAUUUCCUUGGGCGCAAUUCCCAAGGUGGCGCUGUGACACCUGCUGGCUACCCUGCUUUGAAGGGCAGAGUAGCCGCUUCUCCCACUCGUGCUGCCACAAACUGGCGCUGCGAGCAGGAUACCCCUUGAGAACAGACAUUCCACUUGUUUUGUCUUUUUUUUUUCUUUUUCUUUUCAAUGUGUAUUGUUUGAAUUUAUAGGUUGAAACAAAGCAGCAGUGUUUCCCAUACGUGGGCCCAGAAGUCCUGUGCAUCUCUUGUGUCAAAUUCUACUUAAAUUGUAGCCAUGGAAGAAGAGUUGCAGGAAUUAAAGGAGGUAAUUUUGCAGCUGAAGGCAGAGAAUGAAAGACUGAGACGGGGACAAGCUUCUGUUACAGCUGGUCCCAGUGCUGACCCUCCCGCUCAAUCUACAUCAUCUGCUAAUGCUGGUGUUCAACAGAUGGAGAGGUUGGUGCUUGUUCCCCGGGAUAGAAAAUGUCCCUUUUUCAGAGGAAGAAAGGGUAUAGGUUUGGUAGAGUGGUUGGAGGAAGUGCAGGCUUGCAUGAGAGCCUAUCAGAGUUGGACCAGGCAUUUUUUUUAUUUGACCACUUGGAAGGAGAGCCGCGUGAGGAAAUUAAAUUUCGUCCCAGGGCAGAAAGGGAGGAUCCAGCCAAAAUAAUUGCUGUGCUCCAGGAACUGUAUGGGUGUUCAGACUCGUAUGUUGCCUUGCAGGAGGCUUUCUUCUCACGGAGGCAGCAAGAAGGAGAAACAUUGCAAGAGUUUUCCCUUGCAUUAAUGAGUUUGAUGGCAGCUGUUAAACAGCAAGCCCCAAGUGACAUUCCUAAUACUGAAGUGUUACUCCGUGACCAAUUUGUUGAGCAUGUUAUCGAUGGCUCCCUGCGCCGUGAAUUAAAACAGCUUGUGCGUGUAAGACAGACAGCCACAUUGUUAGAUGUCCGAGCUGAAGCAAUCAGGUGGGAGCGUGAGGGGAUGUCUGGAGGUGUCAGGGGUCGAAGUCACUCGGUUCCCUCAGUUCUUGGGUUGCAAUAUGGAGUGCAGUGCCCUCAGCAGGUGACCAACUUGCAUUUAACAUCAGAGUUAACCGAAAUGAGAGAGUUGUUGAAGCAGCAGCAAGCGCAGUUAAACAAACUCACCCAAAGUCUCUCAUCACUGCAAGGUCUUCAACAGGGCCGUUCUACUAAUCGGGGCCCUAUCAUUUGCAGACGUUGCCAGCAGCCUGGUCAUUUUGCUAGAGAAUGUGAUGGUGUUCGUGUUGCCCCUCCCCAGUCCAUUCCUCAACCCCAACAGUCUGCCAGGCAAUCCCAUCGUGGCCCACAGUCGGAAAACUAAUGCCCGCCGAACUGCAGAGCCACAGUUCUGGCGGUGCGGUUUCUGGCUCGGAGGCUUCUAAGCUUAUGUCAUCUUGUCCCCAGUUGGAAGUGAAAAUGGGAGGAGUAUUAGUUCCCUGUUUGUUGGAUACUGGUUCCAUGGUGUCUACAAUCACUGAAAGCUUCUUUCACAAACAUUUUGAACCAUGGGGUAGUGAUAAGCUUCAAACAUGUAACUGGCUACAACUCAGGGCUGCUAAUGGAUUGGCCAUACCAUAUAUUGGCUAUUUAGAACUUGAGGUUGAACUUGUUGAUAAAACUAUGCUGCAGUGUGGUGUGUUGGUAGUUAAGGAUACCCCGGGUGAUAGUGUACCUCACCUCCCUGGUGUCUUGGGGAUGAAUGUUAUUAGCAAAUGCUACAGAGAACUUUUUGGACAACAUGGUUCGGCUUUAUUUAAUCUGCCAGUGUUGUCUCAGGUCUCUGAGCCUGUUCGGCAAGCUUUGCAGCAGUGCCACCAAGCUAGUGUAAAGGCCUCAAGUGGGGCCCCUGGAAUUGCCAGAGUGGGUGGUAAAAGGGCUUGUCGUAUCCCUGGUGGCAUGAUGAAACUGGUUGCAUCCACCUGCUCUCAGAAAUAUUCUGGCAUGAGUGCAUU